GGUUCCGUAGCUCAGUUGGUAGAGCGUCUGGCUGUUAACCAGAAUGUCAAAGGUUCAAGUCCUUUCGGGAUCGCCA
rnacentral:tRNA from 1 species